GCUACUUCUUGCUUCUGGUGUGAUUUGGUUUAUGAAUACAAUCAAGCUUCUUCAACAUGGCGGGGAGGUGGUCGUCAAGCAUCACAUCUUAUAAAAGGGCAAGUGCUUGCCAGUGAGACGUCCAUCAAGGCUGGGCCAGCGUGGGGCCAUAAUCCCUGGAAGUGCCCCUAUGGUUCUUGCCCUACCUCCCUUAUCCCCUCCAUCCUUCCCUCUACACCUCCCUUCCCUCCAUGCUGUUGUUUUCCUCUUCUCCUCCCCAGGCAGGGGGUGUUUGGACCACGCAGCGUGACCUGGCUGCCAGGGGAGGGAUCCAGGGAGGGGCUCCGGGGCCACAGGUGAGGCCUGAGCUCAAUCUACCCCCCUCCAUCCUGCCUCUCCCUCCACCUCCCCUGGGUGCCAACUUCACCAACCCUCCUCUUCCCCGUGCCCAGCAGGCCAAUCAAGCCAUAUCUGUGUGCCAUGCAACCUGGGGACCAUGGGGAUGGAGGAUGGGAGGAGGGUAAUAGCGGAACAGGCAGGCCGAGGCCCCAUGUGGACCUCCCUGUCCCUCUGAAACCCUCCCAGGAUCUGUGUCGCCAUCACCACCACGUUUAAUUACCUUGCUCAUCUUCAUUAAUUCAUGGGGCUCCUUUAUGCCCUGCAGGCUGGAUGGAUAGAGAGGGAGGAAGGGAGGAAGAGAGGGAUGGAGACAGAGGUGGAGGGAGAGACGCCACUCCACUCAACAACAACAACAGUGGCAGCAGAAUGCAACAAAAACAACAAACCCAGCAGCUGGAGCUCAGUGCCAGGAGCAACAGCUUGGUGACCCUGGCAUCCCUCAGGGUACUUGUUUAGGACCUCCAGUGCAGAAGGCUUUUUGCCAGUUAAGGGGCCUUAGGGCUUCAGGGUCAGUCUGGCCACACCAGGCCCUCUCAGCCCCAGAGACAGUGGAAAACAAAUCCCCACUGUCUGGCCAGAAAGCACCUCUGAGAUCGAACUCUAAACAGGCUCUAUUGAUUUGAGGCACCAAGGGCUGUUCCCUGGACAAAGUGACCAUAAUGACAUUAGAGAUUAGAUGCUCAGAUGUUGCUCACAAGAGACUGGGAUUAGAGCAAUAGGUAAUAAAUGCCUAUUUAGUGGACCAAAGGUUCAUUUGUGUGUGUGUGUGCCUGUGUGUAUGUGUGGCUCAAAUAAAAAUCUCCAGUGAAAAAAUCUAAA